rnacentral:rRNA from 1 species
ACAAGCGGUGGAUCAUGUUUGUUUAAUUCGAUGAUACGCGAAGAACCUUUACCAGGUCUUGACAUCCCUUGCAAAGCUAUGGAGACAUAGUGGAGGUUAUCAAGGAGACAGGUGGUGCAUGGUUGUCGUCAGCUCGUGUCGUGAGAUGUUGGGUUAAGUCCCGCAACGAGCGCAACCCUUAUUGCUAGUUACCAUCAUUAAGUUGGGGACUCUAGCGAGACUGCCAGUGAUAAACUGGAGGAAGUGGGGAUGACGUCAAAUCAUCAUGCCCCUUAUGACCUGGGCUACAAACGUGAUACAAUGGCUGAAACAAAGGGCAGCGAAGCAGUGAUGUGGAGCGAAACCCAAAAAGCAGUCUCAGUUCGGAUUGAAGUCUGCAACUCGACUUCAUGAAGUUGGAAUCGCUAGUAAUCGUAGAUCAGAACGCUACGGUGAAUACGUUCUCGGGGUUU